rnacentral:lncRNA from 1 species
GAGAAAGCUACAAGUUUUUCGAGCAGGUGGAAAUAAAAAUCUUAAAGGGGAGCUGCCCUGGGAGAUAGGGAACUGCACCAGCUUGGUUAUGUUAGGCCUCGCUGAAACUAGCAUUUCUGGCAGUCUUCCCUCAUCAUUAGGAAUGCUGAAAAGAAUUCAAACCAUAGCCAUUUAUACAUCUUUGAUAUCAGGUCCUAUACCAGAAGAGAUUGGUAAUUGCAGUGAGCUGCAAAAUCUUUACCUGUAUCAAAAUUCUAUAUCCGGUCCAAUCCCGAGUCAAGUCGGUCAGCUGAGCAAGCUUCAGGGUCUGCUAUUGUGGCAGAAUAACUUAGUUGGUAGUAUCCCUGAUGAACUUGGAAGC